ACGGUACCGUAAGAAUAAGCACCGGCUAACUACGUGCCAGCAGCCGCGGUAAUACGUAGGGUGCAAGCGUUAAUCGGAAUUACUGGGCGUAAAGCGUGCGCAGGCGGUUAUGUAAGACAGAGGUGAAAUCCCCGGGCUCAACCUGGGAACUGCCUUUGUGACUGCAUAGCUGGAGUGCGGCAGAGGGGGAUGGAAUUCCGCGUGUAGCAGUGAAAUGCGUAGAUAUGCGGAGGAACACCGAUGGCGAAGGCAAUCCCCUGGGCCUGCACUGACGCUCAUGCACGAAAGCGUGGGGAGCAAACAGGAUUAGAUACCCUGGUAGUCCACGCCCUAAACGAUGUCAACUGGUUGUUGGGUCUUCACCGACUCAGUAACGAAGCUAACGCGUGAAGUUGACCGCCUGGGGAGUACGGCCGCAAGGUUAAAACUCAAAGGAAUUGACGGGGACCCGCACAAGCGGUGGAUGAUGUGGUUUAAUUCGAUGCAACGCGAAAAACCUUACCCACCUUUGACAUGUACGGAAUCCUUUAGAGAUAGAGGAGUGCUCGAAA
rnacentral:rRNA from 1 species